AUUGAACGCUGGCGGCAGGCCUAACACAUGCAAGUCGAGCGGAUGAAGGGAGCUUGCUCCUGGAUUCAGCGGCGGACGGGUGAGUAAUGCCUAGGAAUCUGCCUGGUAGUGGGGGAUAACGUCCGGAAACGGGCGCUAAUACCGCAUACGUCCUGAGGGAGAAAGUGGGGGAUCUUCGGACCUCACGCUAUCAGAUGAGCCUAGGUCGGAUUAGCUAGUUGGUGGGGUAAAGGCCUACCAAGGCGACGAUCCGUAACUGGUCUGAGAGGGUGAGCAGUCACACUGGAACUGAGACACGGUCCAGACUCCUACGGGAGGCACCAGUGGGGAAUAUUGGACAAUGGGCGAAAGCCUGAUCCAGCCAUGCCGCGUGUGUGAAGAAGGUCUUCGGAUUGUAAAGCACUUUAAGUUGGGAGGAAGGGCAGUAAGUUAAUACCUUGCUGUUUUGACGUUACCAACAGAAUAAGCACCGGCUAACUUCGUG
rnacentral:rRNA from 1 species